rnacentral:rRNA from 1 species
GACGAACGCUGGCGGCGUGCCUAAUACAUGCAAGUCGAACGCUUCUUUCCUCCCGAGUGCUUGCACUCAAUUGGAAAGAGGAGUGGCGGACGGGUGAGUAACACGUGGGUAACCUACCCAUCAGAGGGGGAUAACACUUGGAAACAGGUGCUAAUACCGCAUAACAGUUUAUGCCGCAUGGCAUAAGAGUGAAAGGCGCUUUCGGGUGUCGCUGAUGGAUGGACCCGCGGUGCAUUAGCUAGUUGGUGAGGUAACGGCUCACUAAGGCCACGAUGCAUAGCCGACCUGAGAGGGUGAUCGGCCACACUGGGACUGAGACACGGCCCAGACUCCUACGGGAGGCAGCAGUAGGGAAUCUUCGGCAAUGGGCGAAAGUCUGACGGAGCAACGCCGCGUGAGUGAAGAAGGUUUUCGGAUCGUAAAACUCUGUUGUUAGAGAAGAACAAGGACGUUAGUAACUGAGCGUCCCCUGACGGUAUCUAACCAGAAAGCCACGGCUAACUACGUG